AUACGUAUAAUGGUCAAAAUAAAAUAAAAAUGCGCUGAAAUUGUGGCAAAUGUUUUAAAAAAAUAUUGAAUUCUGCUAAUAACUUCUUCUGUUUAUAGUAAGCUUAAUGUGGUCUGUAUUCUGGCGUCGAUGUAUUUUUGGUUCUUGCAAGACGUUGUGUUAAAGCCUACAUUCUUACACAAAAUGCGCUAUUCCAAAUGAAAAAUGUUUUUCUGUGGGAUGUAUUCAAGUUUUUCGUAACACUCAUCGGAAGGUCUAUAGCUACAGCCGUAAGUGGUGUUGGUGAGAUAGCCGCUCUAAGUACUCAUCACCAAUAUGAUUUAAACGACAAAGCAAUCAAUAGAUACUACAACGUUCUAAUACAAGAAAAUGAUAAAACGAAGAGACUUCGGUCUCAACAUCGCGGUGGUAACUAAUUCGACCCUCUUUUAGACAAAAAUCUUGAAGAAAACAAUAAAUUAGUAGCUGUGCCCGUGAACUACAUUUUAGUAAUUUUACUUAUCCUAUAGCCAUAGAUUUUUCAUUUUUUUUCUCCAUAUAAACACUCUUCCGAGUUUAAGGAAUAAAGUAUAUGUGCAGUCCGAGAGCUGUAUUCGCCUAGUAGCUUCAGCGUACAACUCUCACCUGAGGUCAUAGGGUCGAUCCACAGCCGUGCACCAAUGGAAAGGACGGCUCGCAAGUGCGUCGCCGGUCUUUCGGACUUCUCAAUUUAAACCUCUUUGGCGUGUCCCUAUUAUUGGUGUAAUUACAAAGGCCUCAUGGAAAUAUAUUAUUGUAUAGAAAAAGAAAUCUUCUUUGGGAUUUACGUCUUUUUGUGUGAGUUAUGAAAAGUAUUUAGCAUUUGUUGUGUUAAUUGAGGCAUUACUUUGACUCCUCAAUGUCAAAAUCUAUCAAAUAUUUAGAGACUCAAUUCUAGGACAUGUCAAGUGAUGGAAAUGGACACAAGUCUAGCCAAUCUGGCAUCACCGGACAAUUAUGUAUAAAAAUACUUUAUCACGAAAAUUUUCUGUUUUUCCCAACAAAUUUUGUACCUACCUACCAAAACCCUCGAUAUUUUCACCAUACAGAAGCUUAGACCACCGUCUAAAUAUAGGAGUGGAUAGUUAAUAUCUGUUUCAAACAUAGCAACGUACCACUGUUCUCAUAAUUAAACAUCAUUUCAUAGACUACAAUAAAGUUGGUGAACUGAGGUAACAUGUAACCAUUUUCAAUUAUGUAUUUAUGUGUUAGCUGUGAAAUUGUGUUGAUAAUAAAGAUAUAGCUGUGUGG